rnacentral:sRNA from 1 species
UUUCAUCUACACGUCGAGAGGAUGAGAAUCUCCGAAGGAGGUUUGAGCCGAACGUAGUGAGACCACGUUGCUUUAGCAACGGCCCGCAGGGCAAGCAUCGAAGAUGCGCAUAAUCCUCUCAUGCCGACCA